AUAUAUAAUGCUAAUAUUGUGCUAUGCUAAUAAUAUAAUAUAUUGUAUGUACAUAUAAUUUGUAAGCCACUCUAAGUCCCCUUUGGGGUGAGAAGGGUGUGAUACAAAUAUAGUAAAUAAAUGCAGUAAAUAAAUAAAUAAUAAAUAAAUACAUUUUAGACUUAGGCUCGCCCAAAGUCUGAAAUGACUUGAAGGCACACAACAACAACAACAACAACAACAACAACCCUAAUUAACUUGACUAUCUCAUUGGCCAGAAGCAGGAGCACACUUCCCAUUGAAAUCCUGAUAAAUGUAUGUUGGUUAAAAUUAUUUUUAUUUUUAAAUAUUGUAUUGCUCUUUCAUUGUUGUUGUUGUUGUUGUUGUUGUUGUUGUUGUUUUUGCACUACAAAUAAGACAUGUGCAGUGUGCAUCGGAAUGUAUUUGUUUUGUUUUUUUUAAAUGAAAAUCCGGCCCCUCAACAGUCUGAAGGAUUGUGGACUGGCCCUCGGCUUAAAAAGUUUGAGGACCCCUGCCCAGGAGGAACUGGGUUAUUGCUGUUCCCAACCCCAACCCAAACCCUGGGCUUUCCCUCGGGGGGUAGCUAAAUGCCAUCCUUGAACAUCCCAGGAUAAUAUUCAGGCUCCCUACAAUCCCCCAUUUUCCUCUCAAAAAUUUACCCAAUGGGCCUGCCAGCAGCCCCUCUGGAGAGUUCUCCUGACACGUGAAAAUGAUGCAUGGGUGCCAUCCUGCUCCUUUGGGGUGCAGGAGCCCGAAGAACUGGGAUGGCUGUGGGGACUGACCCACGGGACUACAGAAGCAGUCCCGGGAGUCAAUCUCCACAGGAAAGGCAAUUUUAAUCAAGACACACAUAAGAAGUAUUUUCCUUAUAUAUAAGAUAAAAAAGAUAAUGUUUAUGAAAAGAAAAAAAUGAAAAAGAAAGGGAAACAAAAAUGGGAGACUGAAGAGACAAAAGGACUGAAGAGAAAAGUGAGCAGCCAGCUGCAGCCAGCUGCAACAAAUCACUCUGACCAAGAGGUCAUGAGUUCGAGGCCAGCUCGAAGCCUAUGUUUGUCUUGUCUUUGUUCUAUGUUAAAGGCAUUGAAUGUUUGCCUUAUAUGUGUAAUGUGAUCCGCCCUGAGUCCUCUUCGGGGUGAGAAGGGCGGAAUAUAAAUACUGUAAAUAAAUAAAUAAAUAAAAGAAAAAAAAACCAAAACAAAAACUAUAACACAAACACAGGAGUUUAUUGACUUCCAUCUACUUCAUGGUGAUAUAUGGGUCUUUCAGAGUCCUUAUACACUUUUCAUUGUCUCUUCCUGCAUCCCCUUCCUUCAUUAGUCUCACUUAUCCAAGCUUCACUUAUCCAAUGUUCUGUAUUAUCCAAGGCAGUCUGCCUUUUAGUAGUCAAUGUUGCAAUGUUUUGAUGCUAAAUUCGUAAAUACAGUGAUUAUUACAUAACAUUAAUACGUAUUGAACUGCUUUUUCUGUCAAUAUGUUGUAAAACAUGAUUUUUGGUGCUUAAUUUGUAAAAUCAUAAUGUAAUUUUAUGUUUAAUAGGCCUUUGUCUUAAUCCCUCCUUAUUAUCCAACAUUUUCGAUUAUCCAAUGUUCUGCCGGCCCAUUUAUCUUGGAUAAGUGAGACUCUACUGUACUGAACUUGCAGACCGAAAGGUCCCAGGUUCAAACCCCGGGAACGGCGGGAGCGGCCACUGUUAGCUCCAGGUCCUGCCAACUUAGCAGUUCGAAAACAUGCCAAUGUGAGUAGAUCAAUAGGUAUCACUCCAGCUGGAAGGUAACGGUGCUCCAUGCAGUCAUACCGGCCACAUGACCUUGGAGGUGUCUACAGACAACACCAGCUCUUUGGCUUAGAAAUGGAGAUGAGCACCAAGCCCCAGAGUCAGACAUGACUGGACUUAACAUCAGGGGAAACCUUUACCUUUAUCUUACUGUACUUAGAAAACAACAAUUUUUCUUCUAUUCUCCUUCUUUCUUAUUCAUAUUACUAUUUUCAUCUUUUCCUUUUUAAAAAUAGUAUUUGAACAUCUGCCAAUCUGUUUGACUUUUUGCUCUUCCUUGAUUUGUUGAUGUCAAGUGUGCCAGCCUGUCCAUGUUCAUAAUUUCCAUUAUUUUCAGUAUCCAUUGAUCAAUCGCCGGUAUUUCUUUGUUUCCCCAAUGUCUAGCAUAAACUACCCUCACCGCUGUUACCAUAUAAUUGAACAAUCUCUCUUUAUUCUUUUCUUUUUCUAUAUCUAACAUUCCCUAAAGGAGAUAUUUAGGUUCCAUUUUAAUCUUUAUUUGCAAAAUUUUCUGUAUUCUAUCAUGGAUUUUCCUCCAAAAUUUCUUCACAUUUUCGCACGACCACCAGGAAUGGUAGAACGUGCCUACCUGUUCCCCACAUUUCCAACAUUCGUUUGACGUAUUUGACAACUUGACAAUCUUUGUGGUGUGAUGUACCACUCUUAAUGGGUUUUCAUAGCCAAACGAUGAUUCAAACCAUGAUAGUCCAGUGUUAUUGUUCAACACUGAAAGCACUAAACUAUGGAGGCUUCCUUUUUCUUCAAAUACUUCUCCUGAAGUACAGUACUAUACAUUUUCUUAGUGUGCUGCAUGUACUGUUCAUGUUUUGAUAUCAAACCUAAUAGUUCAAUGCUUUAUACUUAUUAUUUAUAAAUUACUGUAUAUACUCAAGUAUAAGCCUAGUUUUUCAGCCCUUUUUUAGGGCUGAAAAAGCUCCCCUCGGCUUAUACUCGAGUGAGGGUCCUGGCCGGCUUAUACUUGAGUAUAUAGGUAUUCAGAGUUGGACAGUCUUAUCUUAUUAAAGUCUUAUUAUUAUUAUUAUCUUAAAUUACAGUUUUAUAUAAAUAUUCAAAAACAUUUAACCUACUGAUGCCUCAAAUAAUGCAAUUUUAUUAAUAUCUAUUUUUAUUUUUGAAUUUGUCCUGUAGCUGCUGCAUUUCCUACCCUCGUCUUAUACUCAAGUCAAUACGUUUUCCCAGUUUUUGUGGUAAAAUUAGGUACCUUGGCUUAUAUUCGGGUCGGCUUAUACUCGAGUAUAUACGAUAUAUGUUUUUUGUGCUUUCAAUGAACAGCUAACAAACUGCCAAUCUUUUUUAUUUUCCAAAGGGUUACGAAGCAAUGAAGAGUCUUGUGGUAGCUCAAUGACUAACCAUUUUAUUGUGGAAAAAAAAAAACUUCCAUGGGCUGUAGUCUAUUUAAUCAGAGGUUGGAAAAUUGCUCUACAGGACUAAUUGGUUGCACAUAUAGUUCCAAAGCUUCAAAGUAAUACAUUGGCAUUGUAGGCACCCUAAAAAUUAACACUUUCACAUUUCUCAAAAGCAAUUAUUUUUCCCCGAAGUUAUUUUCCCUCUAGAGUCACUAGAAUGUUACAAGCCCCUGGUCUGUAGCACAAAACACAUCUACGUUGCUGAAGGCAAAAUUAAAAAUAUACAUAUACAGAGUAAAGACUUUUAUAUUUAUUUAUUUACUUUUCUAUUCUGCUUUUCUUUACCCCAAAGGGGACUCAAAACGGCUUACAAACAUUAAAAUGCAUCUUAACAAAAUCAACAAUCUAAAACAUGAGCAAUUAAAACACAUAUCAAUCAAUUAAACAGAUUAAAUCCAAAUAAAAUGCUGAGUCCUGAUUAAAACAUUGUCCAUAAGAUUUACAAGAAAAUGGCAUAACGUUAUACCCCAAAUCUCCCAAAACAAUUGGCAGAAUCACUAGUUUGAAAUUUGUUCUUCUCUUUCAGUUCCCCAGUCACAGAAGGAAAAGGAAUCCAAUGUCAUGAAUUAAAAAUGAAAACAGGGACAAUCAAGAAAGAAACUCCAUUUGUUUCAAAGCACAUUCUUUGUACCAGCUUCAAUCCACACAGAAGGAAGCUGAAUAGGGUUGCAUAAAAGCCCGCCUGACAUGACAAUUUACCUCCCCAAUGAGGCAAACAGGUAUCAGAACAGCCUGGAAUAGCUAUCACAACACUGCCAUUGGCAAGUAAUCUUUAUACUUUGCCAUUAUUGAACGAAAACACAACCGUUAUUAUAUACAGAAAUACACAUGCACUGACUACAAAUGAAAUGAAAUUAUCGAGAAAGAAUGGCAUGUAAAAGCCCAGCUGGUUUCACAACACAGAGUAUGGAUACGAGAGCUGGACCAUAAGGAAGGCUGAGCAAAGGAAGAUAGACGCUAUUGAACUGUGGUGUUGGAGGAAAAUUCUGAGAGUGCCUUGGACCGCAAGAAGAUCCAACCAGUUCAUACUCCAGGAAAUAAUGCCCAACUGCUCACUGGAGGGAAGGAUAUUAGAGGCAAAGAUGAAGUGCUUUGGCCACAUAAUGAGAAGACAGGAAAGCUUGGAAAAGAGAAUGAUGCUGGGGGAAAUGGAAGGAAAAAGGAAGAGGGGCCAACCAAGGACAAGAUGGCAUCUUUGAAGUGACUGGCUUGACUUUGAAGGAGCUGGGGGUGGCCACGGCCGACAGGGAGCUCUGAUGCAGGCUGGUCCAUGAGGUCAUGAAGAGUCAGAAGCAACUGAAUGAAUAAACAAAAUGAUUAGUAUCAUUACCACCAUGACCCCACGUUUCUCCCAGAAUUAAGAUUUAAAGUGACUACAGGCAGUAGUUUUGCAUUAUAAUUCUGUUUGCUGUCAUGGGAAACUCUGAAAUAGCUGGAAAUUACUCCAGAAACUGAAUGGGUGACUGGAACAUUACCUCUGUGAUGUCUCAGGGACCCUUGAGUCAUGACCCCGCAGCCAUUAUGGAUCAGACUGAAGAGGAUAUGGGGUUUGUGCCACCUCAGCAAGAUUCUGCUCCCUUCCAGAUGUUCCCUGUUGACAGUUUGAGCCCAAAGCUAAUUACGAAAGCCUUUGAAACAGAGCCUGGUUCCCCGGACAGUGCUCCUUUUGAUAGGAGAUUGUUUCUGAAAACAUUUCACUCUGAGAAGGAGAAUCGGAGACGAAGCGCGAGAUUAGCGGAGAGAGAGGACGCUAAUUAAACCCAUUCCCUUGAGAGUUUCCAGGGAGGGUUGCAUCUGGCAAGUUGUUGUCUUCAGUCCAUUUCCCUUGGGGAAAAGUGUUCAGGCACCUGGUUUGAGGGGAGAUUUGAAGUCCCAUAAAAGUUCUGCGCGCAGGCUAGCCAGCGCGGUGUCAACGUGUCAGUUGGAAGGUUAAUAUCGACUCUAGUUCCUGUGGCGCGCUACUCUUGAGUAGACCGCACGUUGCAUCUCGUCUCCCUGUCAAGUCUGGACUGCAAUCAGUUCCACCACGACCAACCUUGCCUUGCCUUGUUAUCCCAGCCUUGGACAUUGAACCUGGAACUCUUUGAAAGACCUUGCUUUAUUCCCCACUCAAACUGCUUGGAAGUUUGAGUGUGUUUCGGUUAUUGGAUUUAAAACUUUGAACUCUAAUACUGGACAUCCAACUUUAUAUUAUUGGACUAUUUUUGACCUUUCCUAAAAGGACUAUUGCUGGACUAUAUACUCUGCUUAUUUUUGUUUGACUCCUUUUUUGCUUUAAUAAAGAUAUUAGAUUGUU